rnacentral:rRNA from 1 species
UGGGGAAUAUUGGACAAUGGGCGAAAGCCUGAUCCAGCCAUGCCGCGUGUGUGAAGAAGGUCUUCGGAUUGUAAAGCACUUUAAGUUGGGAGGAAGGGCAGUUACCUAAUACGUGAUUGUUUUGACGUUACCGACAGAAUAAGCACCGGCUAACUCUGUGCCAGCAGCCGCGGUAAUACAGAGGGUGCAAGCGUUAAUCGGAAUUACUGGGCGUAAAGCGCGCGUAGGUGGUUUGUUAAGUUGGAUGUGAAAUCCCCGGGCGCAAACUGGGAACUGCAUUGAAAACUGACUGACUAGAGUAUGGUAGAGGGUGGUGGAAUUUCCUGUGUAGCGGUGAAAUGCGUAGAUAU